rnacentral:lncRNA from 1 species
CUCGGCGGGCGGCGUGAAGCGCGGAGCGGGAGCCGGAGCCGCCGCCGCCGCCACCUGCGCGGCAGCCAACAAGAUGUCAUGGCACCCCCAGUACCGCAGCUCCAAGUUCCGACACGUCUACGGCAAGCCUGCCAGCAAGGAGAAUUGCUACGACUCUGUGCCCAUCACACGCAGCGUCCACGACAACCACUUCUGUGCUGUGAACCCCCACUUCAUCGCUGUGGUCACUGAAUGUGCCGGUGGGGGCGCCUUCCUUGUCAUCCCCUUGCACCAGACGGGAAAGUUGGACCCUCACUACCCCAAGGUCUGUGGGCACAGAGGGAACGUCUUGGACAUCAAGUGGAAUCCUUUCGAUGACUUUGAGAUUGCCUCCUGUUCAGAAGAUGCCACGAUUAAGAUCUGGAACAUCCCCAAGCAGCUGCUGACCAGGAACCUCACAACCUACAGGAAGGAGUUGAUGGGUCACGCACGCAGGGUGGGGCUGGUGGAGUGGCACCCCACAACUGCCAACAUUCUCUUCAGUGCUG